GGACACAGCCUGGAGGUGAAGGUCCUUGGGGCAGAGCUGGCUCUGACACUCCAGGUCUACACUGCCCACUCCACCUCCCUGGAAGCUGCCACCGUGGGAGUAGUGCCUGUGGUUAGGCAGAGAAGGAAGCUCUGGAGCAAGACCCUGGUGGUGCUGCCAUGGGGAGAGGUGUGCUGAGGAACCCAUGGUGCUUGUGCAGCGUUAUGAGGCUGCACCCCAGAGUUGGCUGAGCUGGGUCUGGACUAACAGAACUGGCCCUCAGCCUGCCCAACCCAGGAGCACAGGUGCUGAGCUGGGAACUUUGCAGCCCUUAUCCUUCCAACGCCCUCCAAAAUAGGUGACCUCAAACUUUACAGAUAAGGGCUCAUAUCAGAGAGGUGAAAUGGUUCAUAGCUGACAAGUGGCAAAGCCAGAAUGUGAAGCCAAGUUUUUCUAGGCACUUUCUUCAUUUGGGGAGGGUUGACUGGAAAGGGACUUUGAACUGGAGUGAAUGUGGUGAGAUCUGAGGAGUCUGAGGUAGGGAGGAGGGACUUUACUGGCAACCUGUGGUGCUGAGGGGAGCGGCCCAUCCUAACUGCCCUGGAGUGUCUCUGCUGCCGGAAACUUGAGAGCACACCACGUCAGCCCUUCCCUCUGUCUAGGAAGCUUCUUUGGCUUUUAUGCACUCACCUUUCCUAUUGCCUCCAGCUUGUGAAAUCUGGUUUGCACCUGAGGCCUCAUAGUUCUUGGUGGGCCAAGAGAAGUUAGAGAAAACUUUCACUUCUAGAAUGUGAAACCUGAAAGAGUGAGGCUUGAUUAAAUGAUCACUUUCAUCCGCAUGCUUACACAAUGAUUUGUCAAAGUGGUUUCAAGGCAUUUUUUCAUUACCAGUAUUUCUCCUGCUUCUUCAUAACCAUGGGGUUAUAUAGACAGAUGAUAUUCAGUUGAACAAAUAUUCUUUGAUGCCUACUAUAUGAAGGCUAUAAUAAAUAAAGUGGUCUUUAUACAUUUAGAGUUUAAGUGGAGUGUCUGUGUCUUUUUAGGUUUCAUGUAGGAUCUUAAUAAACAUGGGCCAUGUGUAUGUAUGACUGAGUCCUUUUGCUGUACAGCAGAAACUGGCACAACGUUGUAAAUCAAUUACACGUUAAUUAAAAAAAUAUAUAUGGGCCAGAUUUGGCCUGUGGUCCAAAUUAGCUCAUAACCCCUAGAGGAUAGGGUACCAUGAGAGAUGAGGCUUAGGAGGGUGGCCUGGUUUGGGGAUCUCUAGAGACUAUGUUAAAAGGCCUGACCUUGGCCCCAUGAAUAAGGGGGUGUGUCUCCUUCUCAUAUGCUUUUUUUUUUUUUAAAGGACUGCACAGCCUGGGAACCUCCGUAUGCCGCAGACGCAGCCCCAAAAAGACACACACACACACACACACACACACACACACACACACACACACACAGGAAUGGAACAGGAACACCAGAAGGAGAGCAGGGCAGAAGCUGCAGUAGGCCUGCUUGUCUCUGAGUCUGGAUGCAGGCAGAAGUGGCUAGAAAUCUGGGAUAACAGAUUUACGCAUAACUCCAGCUAUGGAGUGCUGGAUACAAAGCCUGGAGUUAGAGCUGAUACACUGCUGGAACCCAGGGGCUGGGAAAGUAGUCUGAAAACAGUUGCUGUAACCCAUUCCCUGGGGCUGGGGCUUAUUACAAAGAUGCUUACCUAGGGAGACAGGGCCUGGAGCUAAGCUAAGUUGCUACUGUGAGAUUUGAUUCUAGACCAGGAGACCCAGAGGACCUGGGGAGGCAAAGGAGAAAAUCCCCAGAUGAAGAAGGGAUGAGCUUAUAUACUCAGAAAUAUGAGGGAAACUAAUAUGAAAGAAGAACAAAAUCAGAGGAAAAUUUAUCCCCAAAGAAAUGAAAAUAACAGAGUAGUCAGAAAAUACAUUUAGUAGAAAUAGGUUAAGGAUCCUUGAGGCUAUUAGCGAAACAAGAAAUUUGUUAAAGAAAGGUAAAUUAUAAAAGAAACAAGAAUAUGUAAACAUGAAAACUUUACAUUAAAAAUUGUAGGAGUUCCCAUUGUGGCUCAGCAGGUUAAGGACCUGACAUAGUCUCUGUGAGGAUGCAAGUUUGAUUCCCCAGCCCUGCACAGUGAGUUAAGGAUCUAGCAUUGCUGCAGCUGUGGUGUAGGUCACAGCUCUGGCUCGGAUUCAGUCCCUGGCCCUGGAACUUCCAUAUGCUGUGAGUGCAGCUGGAAAAGAAAAAAAAAAGAAUGAGGUGAAAUAAAGAUAUUUCUGUACCUGCUAAGACAGUUUUAUUACCUACACGUCCUUGCUAGAAGAACUACUAAAGGUUUGUAUUUCAAUAAGGAGAAAACUUGGGGAGAGGAGCAGAUUGCUAGCAGCAAAACCAAGUGCAGAAAUUGAUGUGCGUUGGUAAAUUAACUGUAGACAGUGUAUCAGGAUGCUCACGUCACCCACAGGGACUUAAACUCCAGAAGAUAUUUAACUAGCUUGUAAUGAGAAGUUGGAGGGAGGGAGUUCCAAGUUUGGAGCAUUAGUCCAGUACUGACUUGAGGAACCCUAGGUCAUUCCAUUGUUCUUCUCUGCUGUCAUAAGGGUAUAAGAGCUCUCUCCUCAUGGUUGUAAGAUGGCUGCUGCAGCUCCAGGUAUUAUAUCACCUUAGAGCAUCCUAAGCAGGAAGGGUAGGAAAUGCUAAGAGAAAGGAAGCUUUCUAAUGUGCCUCUUUUCUAAGAAGGAGAAUCUUUCCAGGGAAGCCCCAGCAGACAUCUCAUGCUUCAUUGACCUGAGCUGGUUCAUCCUUAGACCAAUUCCUGGUAAAAUGGAACAGGCUUAUCUUAUCUCCUGGGACUGGGUUCUUUGCUGCCUGAACAAAAUCAGGAUUCUUUUGGCAAGAAAAAAGGGGGAAUGGCUGCUAGUAGGCAACCAACAGUGUCGGCCACAGAUGGCAAAACGCACUGAACAGAAACCCAGAAUCUAGUUUGUUUUAGUUUUAAAAUAGGAAAACUAAAAUCGUUGGCCACAUUAUCAAGGAAGAAUCAGGUAGAAUAAGGAAGGGAAUUUCAUUGUUAAAUCACAUCACAUUUCUGCCUUGUUAAAGGGAAAUACCGCUGCUGAAAACUGUAGACCUCAUUAGGAAAAUAUGUAUCUGCUAACAAUUUAAGAUAACCACUUUAGUUAGUUAGAAGAAAGAAUUUCCAAUCCAGAAGGAAAAAUAUUGGGAGUGGGGGUAGUGUGUCAAUCCAACACAAGUUAGGAAAAGAAAAGAGAACUAAAGAAAAAUUAGUGGAGUUCCUGUUGUGGUAUAGCAGAAACAAAUCCGACUAGUAUCCAUGAGGAUGCAGGUUCACUCCCUGGCCUCACUCAGUGCGUCAGGGAUCCAGUGUUGUAGUGAGCUGUGGUAUAUAGGUCGCAGAUGCGGCUUGGAUCUUGGAUCCCACGUUGCUGUGGCUGGGGCGUAGGCUGGCAGCCAUAGCUCUGAUUUAAUCCCUAGCCUGGGAACCUCCAUGUUUCAUGGGUUCGGCCCUAAAUUUGAAAGAAAAGAAAAACUACCAGACUGAAUAAAAUGCAAAUAAGAAGUAAUCUGGAGAGACUGAUCAGUAGGAACCUAACAGGAACUGCCCUUGCUUUUCUCACACAGGUGGUUCUGUGUUUUUAGACAAUUUUCAGUUCCCUGCGCCAUCCACCCACCUCUCCUCAAAGUUGAGCUUUGACUUGCUUUUUUUUUUUUUUUUUUUUCCCCACCCGCAACAUGCAAAAGUUCCUGGGCCAGGGAUCAAACCUGCACCAAUACUGGAUCCUUAAACACUCUCCACCAGGGAACUCCUGCCUUGCUAAUGAGAUAGUAUUGUUUUCCUAGACUGCUUUAUUCCUGCUGUAGAUGUGUAUAGCAAAUUCCUGGACUUCCCCCUCCACCACCCCUACACACCAAGAAACCACACUGGGACUCUUAAGGGGCAGGUUUGGAGCAGAGCUGGGACCCCAUAUCCCAGCUGUCCCCCUUCCCCAUGCUUCACAACCCAGCUUUCCUCCCCUUAGAGCCUGUUCCUUUGGGGGCAGCAUCCAUCCUCUUGCGAUGGAGACUGAUGGUUUAUUUCUCUGGGACUUCCUUGAAAGUUACCAGAGUGAUGAUCAUAGGAUGGAAGAAAUGCGUAAGUUCUCACUUUCUGAUUUCCUGCCUGCUAACUCUGGGCAGCAUCAGAAGUACCAGAGCUGAGAUCACAGACUGGACAGCAUGUCAGAGUGAGUGUCCUGCAGGAAGGCAGGAGCGCCUGAAGCAGAGGCUGCUGGAGGGAUCGUAAUUGAUGAGCGUGGUAGACUGAGUCACUAGGGUAACAGUGAGGGGUUUAUGCCAGAGGCUGGCGCCAGCAGGUUGCAAUGUGAGGACUUCAGUUAGCCAAGCAUGUGGAAGUGAAGCAGCCAGUUUUCAGACACAUCAAGGACGUGCUUCUCUGGGCUUGAGUUGAGUAUAAGGGAGGGGCUGUCAGGUCUCUUCCUCCAGAUGAUGACAGGCACUCCAGGGCAUCUUCUGCCAGGGUUGGCUGUUGCCACACUCAGGAAGCAGGGCGUUUGCUGGGUUGUUAGGUUGGCAGGGUUCUGGGACACAGGGAACCUUCUGAUGGUUGUACUCCAGUUAGUGGAGAAAGCCUCUCUGGAUGGCAGUGAAUGCUUGUGGAAGGAGCACUGGCCUUGGAGCCAUCAGAUCUGGAAUGUAUUAACGCUCCGUCGCUUAUCGCCUGGCUGACCUCGUUUUGCUGUCUUGGGACUUCUGCGAAUACUGAAUGAGAGGCUAUGCCUGCAAAUGCUCAGAAACUCAUAAAGCAUCAUGCAGUGUGCGUACUAAUCUGUGGUUUGAUGCCUUUACACUGAGGCUCUGGGACACAUCCUCAGGCUGUGUGUCAGUGGGUGGAAAGAGGGUGCUUUAUCAGUGUCUCGGGCCAGGAUUUUUUUCUUUCUCCCCACCCCUUCCAAUUCAAGCAGCCUCCCUCCCUCCAUCCUCCGUGCCUUAUUUUGACAUUUCUUUUCUCUGCCUGCCAAGAAGAUUGUGUUCAGCUGUGCUGGUCUGAGGCUGUGCUAUCCUGUGCUUCGUUAGGUUAAUUCGAUGGCUUGUCUUCUGGGAACUGACUGGGGACUAGCUCUAAAACCCUGCUAGCCUCUAAAACCCAAUCCCCACUGUUUUCCUUGGGGCAAGCUUUGCCGCUGAAUCCCACACACCUUCGUUUUCUCUCCUCCACGCAGGAGCCGGCAAGGGCCUGCUUUGGCCCCACCUUGGUUCCUUGUAUUGGCAAAAUUGCUCAAGCAUGCAUCCUCUGAUUGGUAGAAGGCUCUAAGGGAGACCAUCAAAGCUGCCCCUGACCUUCUGGAUUCUGGUUGCUAGUUUCUCUGUUCAGCCUCAGCAUCUUAAACUUGACCAGCCAUUCAGGGGAUAUUUGUUGUUAAAUGGUCUCACCAUAUUUGCUAAAUUUGUGACCACAAACCUCUUGGAAGACCCUAGCAUUGCCUACCACUAAAUUUCCCUCAUUACUCCCCUUCUCUCUUAGAGGACCAUUCACUCCUGUUUUCUGUAAUCCUCCAGCCCCAGCAUCAAAGGUGUGUCACUCCCUGUGCCCAUGCUUUGCUUCACCUCCUGCUAUACAGGUCGACCUCCAUGUGGGCACUGCCUCUCCCUACCUCUUGCUCUGUUCUUGCUACUUAAGGACUUGCUUCGUAAUUAUCCUCUUUUUUUUUUUUUUUUUUUUCUACAGCAUUAACCUCUCCCUCUUCUGAACCAUCCCCACCAGCAUUCUGUAAUAUUUCCCAUUCCACUUUAUCUCAUUCCCCUUUUUUGGUAACACCUUUAUUGAGAUAGAAUUCAUGUUCCAUGCUCUUCAUCUAUUUCAGUUGUACAAGUCAGUUGGUUUUAGUUUAGUCACAUGGUUAUGCAAUCCUAGACCACAAACAAUCUUAGAACAUUUCAUCACCCCAGGAGGAAACUCCAUACCCAUUACCAGUCACUCCCCAUCUCUUCCAACCCCUAGCCCUGAGCAAUUACUAAUCUACUUUAUGGAUGUGUCUAUUCUGGACAUUUCAUAUAAAUGGAAUCACAUCAUGUGUAGUCUUUUGUGUCAGGCUUCUUUCACUUAGCAUCAUGUUUUCAAGGUUCAUCCAUGUAUCAGUGCUUCAUUUCUUUUUAUGGCUGAAUAAGAUUCCAUUGUAUGGAUAUUAGAUGUUUUGCUUACUCAUCAGUUGAUGGGACUUGGAGUUCUUUCCACUUUGGAGCUAAUAUGAAUAAAGCUUCUAUCAUUUGUGUAUGUAUUUUUGUGCGGAUAUAUAUUUCUCUUGGGUGUAGACCUAGGAUUAAAAUUGCUGAGUCAUAUGUUAACUCUGUUUAAUCUUCUGUCUGCCAGACUGUUUUCCAAAGUGGCUGCGCCAUUUUUCAUUCUCACCAGCAAUGUAUGAGGGUUACAAUUUCUCCAUCUCUUCCUUAAUACCUGUUAUUAUCUGUCUUUUUGAUUAUAGCCAUCCUUGUAGGUGGGAAGUGGUAUCUGAUUGUGGUUUUGAUGUGUAUUUCCCUGAUAGCAAAUGAUGCUGAGCAUCUUUUCAUCUGCUUGUUGGCCAUUUCUCAUCCAGUCAGAUGUUUGCCCCUUCCAUACUUUUGGAUCAGCCACUGUGAAGGUCACUGCUGACAGCCUUCUCUUAUCUAUGUCAGACCUUCCCUCGAUAAUUUCUUCUGGUCCUGUAGUUUUAAAAGUGAACUGUACUCAGGUGACUCUCAAAUGUAUCCCUCCAGCUCUGACCUCUUCCAUGAGCCUUAGACAUCUGUGUCCUGCUGCCUGUUGCCAUUUCCACAUGGACUGUUAAAGGGCAUCUCAAAUUGAACCUGUCAUCAACAGAACUCUUGCUUUUUUUUACUCCUGAAAACCCAUUUCUCUCCUGACUUUUCUGCAUGAAUGAAUGGCAUCCCACAACCAGGUUGCUCAGGCCACAAGCUGAGUCCUGAUUUGGUCUUCCCUGCCCACCCACCACCCUCCAUCUAGCCCAUCCGUUAAGCCCUUCACAAUACAUCCAGCUACUUCUCACCACCUCCGCUGCCUGGGUUUUUGAAGUAGCUCCUCUCUGGUCCCCAGCUCAUCUUACGCAGCAGCCAGAGAAGUUCCUUAGCAAAAAAAUAUUUUAACCUAAAAACUAAAACAAAUUAGACUUUAUUGAGAAAUGCAUCACACAUUCAGAAUAGUAUAUAUCGGAGUUCCCGUCGUGGCACAGUGGUUAACGAAUCUGACUAGGAACCAUGAGGUUGCGGGUUCGGUCCCUGCCCUUGCUCAGUGGGUUAACGAUCCGGUGUUGCCGUGAGCUGUGGUGUAGGUUGCAGACGCGGCUCAGAUCCCACGUUGCUGUGGCUCUGGCGUGGGCCAGCGGCUACAGCUCUGAUUCGACCCCUAGCCUGGGAAUCUCCAUAUGCCACGGGAGCGGCCCAAAGAAAUAGCAAAAAGACAAAAAAAAAGAGUAGUAUAUAUCAUAUAAAUUCCUUAAGGAAUAAAAACUUUAAAUCCUCUUUUCCUACCACUUGGAUUAAGGAGUAAUACAUUUCCCCGGUAACUUUUUUUUUUCUUCUCUUUGGGUGGCCUUGUAGCAUAUGGAGUUCCCCAGCCAGGGAUCAGAUCCAGGCCACAGUUUGCGACCUUGGCUGGAGCUGCAGCAAUGCUGGAUACCAUCCCACACCCCAGCCCACUGGGGCCAGGCCAGGGAUCGAACUCGUGUCCUGGUUCGUCGGAGACACCACCAAUUCCAUUCUACCACAACAGAAACUCUCAUCCCCCAGUACUUCUAAAGCCUAUAAAGGGGAGUUCCGCCUGUGGUACAGUGGGUUAAUGAUCCAGCUUGUCUCUGUGGAGGUGCCAGUUCAAUCCCUGGCCCUGGUGCAGUGGGUUAAGGAUCCAUUGUUGCUACAGCUCUGGCUUGAAUUCAAGUGCG
rnacentral:lncRNA from 1 species